UUUUUUCCUUUUUUUUUUUUUCCCGGGGAGUCGGCCUCGGGGCUCUGCUCUCCUACCUCAGUCUGCCCUACCCUGGAAUGGGGAAAAUGCGGACAUGCCACUCAGUCCGGCCGCGAACAGUGCUCCAGAACUCAGAGAGUUUUCCAGACGGGUGGAGAUCGCGUUCCCUGCCCGCCGAGGUCCCAUCGCUUCCCUGCUGGGAAGACAAAUGAGGCGCUUUAGCCGUCUCCACGGCCAGCCCCUCCCUCAUAACCCGAGAUUCUUUGUGGGCUCUUAGUCCAUAGCUGCCUUUGAGGUGGUGUAGACCUUGCUAACCAGGACGGCCCAGUAGGCAGAGCUCAUUUUUAUUCCUGUCUGCAAUCGUGCAAAAACGCCUCUUAUGGAAAAGCCAGAGCGCCAGGAGUCAGCAAAACACACUAAAGAUUGGGCAGUCACUGGGGAGAACGUGAGUAAAAGCACAGGAACAGCAAAGCGUUCAGGAACGUUCGAGGCUGACGCAACCGGCGCAGGAAGACUCAGCCCGCCUGCACCCAGGUGAAAUAUACAGCCUUGUUGCUCACACAAAGCCUGUUUGGUGGUUUCUUCACACGGAUGCAUGUGACAUUUGGUGCUGAAGACCCAGGACAGGAGGACUCCUUUGGGAGACCAGUGCCCUGUUGUCGCCCUCACUCCGUGAGGAGAUCCACCUAUGAUCUCAGGUCCUCAGACCAACCAGCCCAAGGAACAUCUUGCCAAUUUCAAAUCGGAUAGGAGUGUCAGGCCUCUGAGUCCAAGCUAAGCCAUCAAAUCCCCUGUGACCUGCACGUGUACAUCCAGAUGACCUGAAGCAACUGAAGAUCCACAAAAGAAGUGAAAGUAGCCUUAACUGAUGACAUUCCACCAUUGUGAUUUGUUCCUGCCCCACGCUAACUGAUACCAUAUAUUCUUCCCCCGCCCUUGAGAAUGUACUUUGUACACCUAUCCCAAACCUAUAAGAACUAAUGAUAAUCCUACCACCCUUUGCUGACUCUCUUUUUGGACUCAGCCCGCCUGCACCCAGGUGAAAUAAACAGCCCUGUUGCUCACACAAA
ensembl:lncRNA OLMALINC oligodendrocyte maturation-associated long intergenic non-coding RNA